ensembl:snRNA U5 U5 spliceosomal RNA
AUACUGUGGUUUCUCUUCAAAUCGUACGAAUCUUUCACCUCUUACUAAAGAUUUCUGUGGAGAGGAACAACUCUGAGUCUUAAGCCAACUUUUCGAGGCCUUCUUUUAACAGGGCC